AGACCCGAAACCCGGUGAUCUAGCCAUGGGCAGGUUGAAGGUUGGGUAACACUAACUGGAGGACCGAACCGACUAAUGUUGAAAAAUUAGCGGAUGACCUGUGGCUGGGGGUGAAAGGCCAAUCAAACCGGGAGAUAGCUGGUUCUCCCCGAAAGCUAUUUAGGUAGCGCCUCGUGAAUUCAUCUCCGGGGGUAGAGCACUGUUUCGGCUAGGGGGCCAUCCCGGCUUACCAACCCGAUGCAAACUGCGAAUACCGGAGAAUGUUAUCACGGGAGACACACGGCGGGUGCUAACGUCCGUCGUGAAGAGGGAAACAACCCAGACCGCCAGCUAAGGUCCCAAAGUCAUGGUUAAGUGGGAAACGAUGUGGGAAGGCCCAGACAGCCAGGAUGUUGGCUUAGAAGCAGCCAUCAUUUAAAGAAAGCGUAAUAGCUCACUGGUCGAGUCGGCCUGCGCGGAAGAUGUAACGGGGCUAAACCAUGCACCGAAGCUGCGGCAGCGACGCUGAUGCGUUGUUGGGUAGGGGAGCGUUCUGUAAGCCUGCGAAGGUGGCCUGUGAGGGUUGCUGGAGGUAUCAGAAGUGCGAAUGCUGACAUAAGUAACGAUAAAGCGGGUGAAAAGCCCGCUCGCCGGAAGACCAAGGGUUCCUGUCCAACGUUAAUCGGGGCAGGGUGAGUCGACCCCUAAGGCGAGGCCGAAAGGCGUAGUCGAUGGGAAACGGGUUAAUAUUCCCGUACUUGGUGUUACUGCGAAGGGGGGACGGAGAAGGCUAUGUUGGCCGGGCGACGGUUGUCCCGGUUUAAGCGUGUAGGUGUGUGUUCCAGGUAAAUCCGGUUCACUUUAACACUGAGGCGUGAUGACGAGGCACUACGGUGCUGAAGCAACAAAUGCCCUGCUUCCAGGAAAAGCCUCUAAGCAUCAGGUAACAUCAAAUCGUACCCCAAACCGACACAGGUGGUCAGGUAGAGAAUACCAAGGCGCUUGAGAGAACUCGGGUGAAGGAACUAGGCAAAAUGGUGCCGUAACUUCGGGAGAAGGCACGCUGACACGUAGGUGAAGUGAUUUACUCAUGGAGCUGAAGUCAGUCGAAGAUACCAGCUGGCUGCAACUGUUUAUUAAAAACACAGCACUGUGCAAACACGAAAGUGGACGUAUACGGUGUGACGCCUGCCCGGUGCCGGAAGGUUAAUUGAUGGGGUCAGCGCAAGCGAAGCUCCUGAUCGAAGCCCCGGUAAACGGCGGCCGUAACUAUAACGGUCCUAAGGUAGCGAAAUUCCUUGUCGGGUAAGUUCCGACCUGCACGAAUGGCGUAAUGAUGGCCAGGCUGUCUCCACCCGAGACUCAGUGAAAUUGAACUCGCUGUGAAGAUGCAGUGUACCCGCGGCAAGACGGAAAGACCCCGUGAACCUUUACUAUAGCUUGACACUGAACAUUGAGCCUUGAUGUGUAGGAUAGGUGGGAGGCUUUGAAGUGUGG
rnacentral:rRNA from 6 species